rnacentral:misc_RNA from 1 species
AAAGUCGUAACAAGGUUUCCGUAGGUGAACCUGCGGAAGGAUCAUUAUGGAAAGUCCUCUAUUCAGAGGCAAACAGUGCGCCUAUGGCGUACCACCACUGUGUUUUGUUUCGUUUGUUUCGGCGGGUCAAACAUUUGGGUGGGUGAGGAGUAGUUAUCUGCUCCUUGUCCAACUGAAUCGCCAGCCCGCCAAACGCUUCUAUCACACCUUGAUACCUUUUCUGAUCUCUUAUUUGACGGCCUCGGUCGUCUUCAAAUCAAUACAACUGUUAGCCACGGAUCACUUGGUUCUC